rnacentral:rRNA from 1 species
ACUCCUACGGGAGGCAGCAGUGAGGAAUAUUGGACAAUGGAGGCAACUCUGAUCCAGCCAUGCCGCGUGCAGGAAGACUGCCCUAUGGGUUGUAAACUGCUUUUAUACGGGAAGAAACAGCUCUACGUGUAGAGCCUUGACGGUACCGUAAGAAUAAGCACCGGCUAACUCCGUGCCAGCAGCCGCGGUAAUACGGAGGGUGCAAGCGUUAUCCGGAAUCAUUGGGUUUAAAGGGUCCGUAGGCGGACAAUUAAGUCAGAGGUGAAAGUCUGCAGCUCAACUGUAGAAUUGCCUUUGAUACUGGUUGUCUUGAAUUAUUGUGAAGUGGUUUAGAAUAAGUAGUGUAGCGGUGAAAUGCAUAGAUAUUACUUAGAAUACCAAUUGCGAAGGCAGAUCACUAACAAUAUAUUGACGCUGAGGGACGAAAGCGUGGGAGCGAACAGGAUUAGAUACCCCUGGUAGGAUAGCG